CAUAGGCUUGGUCCUGGCCUUUCUAUUAGUUAUCAAUGAACUUACACAUGCAAGAAUCCCCACACCUGUGAAAAUGCCCUCUAACCACUAUUUGGUCAUAGGAGCUGGUAUCAAGCACACUUAUAAAGUAGCUCACAACACCUUGCUAAGCCACACCCCCACGGGAAACAGCAGUGAUAAAAAUUAAGCAAUAAAUGAAAGUUUGACUAAGUUACAUUGACUAGGACUGGUAAAUUUCGUGCCAGCCACCGCGGUCAUACGAUUAGCCCAAACUAAUAGAUAUCGGCGUAAAGUGUGUUUUAGAGCCCAAUCUAGUAAUAAAGUCAAACCUUAACCAAGCUGUAAAAAGCCCUCGUUAUCGUAAGAUACUUAACGAAAGUAACUUUAAUUUUUCUGACUACACAAUAGCUAGGACCCAAACUGGGAUUAGAUACCCCACUAUGCCUAGCCCUAAACAUAGAAAAUUAUAAACAAAAUUAUCCGCCAGAGUACUACCAGCAAAAGCUAGAAACUCAAAGGACUUGGCGGUGCCUUAUAUCCUUCUAGAGGAGCCUGUUCCAUAAUCGAUAAACCCCGAUAUACCCAACCAGUCUUUGCUAAAUCAGCCUAUAUACCGCCAUCUUCAGCAAACCCUAAAAAGGAAGUAUAGUAAGCACAAAUAUUAACAUAAACACGUUAGGUCAAGGUGUAGCCUAUAGAUUGGAGAGAAAUGGGCUACAUUUCCCAAAUUAGGGAUACCUUACGAAAAUUUGUGUGAAACCACUAAUUAAAGGUGGAUUUAGCAGUAAAUUAAGAAUAGAGUGCUUGAUUGAAUAAGGCCAUGAGGCACGCACACACCGCCCGUCACCCUCCUCAAACAACAAACACAAAAUUAUACAUAAAACUUUAAGUAAAGAUUUGCAAGAGGAGAUAAGUCGUAACAAGGUAAGUGUACUGGAAAGUGCACUUGGAUAACA
rnacentral:ncRNA from 1 species